GACGCGCGCGUACGCACCGCGCGCCCGAGGCAGCCUGUCGCCGGCAUGGCCGGCGCGGCGGCGCGGCGGUGCCUGGCGGGGUUCCCGGCGGAGGCGCGGGAGCUGAGCCUGGCAGAGUCUGUGCCCUACCUUGAGAGCCCACUGUCUCCUCUGGAGUUUCACCGGGAAUGGGUAUGUCCAAACAGGCCCUGCAUCAUUCACAACGCCUUCGAUCACUGGCCAGCUCUGAAGAAGUGGACGCUGCCCUAUCUCAGAGAGGUAAUGGGCUCCAAGGCGGUGAGUGUGGCUGUAACACCAAAUGGUUAUGCCGAUGCAGUUUAUCAAGACCGGUUUGUUAUGCCAGAAGAGCGACACAUGCCUUUCAGCAGCUUCUUGGACAUCGUGGAGAAGAAAGUGACAUCGCCUGGUGUCUUCUAUGUGCAGAAGCAGUGUUCAAACCUAACUGAGGAGUUCCCUGAGCUCUUGGGUGAUGUGGAGCCUGACAUACCGUGGAUGAGUGAGACACUAGGAAAAAAGCCUGAUGCUGUGAAUUUCUGGCUUGGGGAGUCUGGUGCUGUGACAUCCUUACAUAAAGAUCACUAUGAGAACUUGUACUGUGUGAUCUCUGGAGAGAAGCACUUUCUACUGCAUCCACCCAGUGAUCGUCCCCUCAUCCCAUAUGAAUUCUACCUCCCAGCAACGUACCACAUAUCAGAAAAUGGCUCAUUUAAGGUUGUAGAUAAAGAGGCUGUGGACAAGGUACCAUGGAUUCCAGUGGAUCCUUUAAAUCCAGAUCUGAAACGAUACCCAGAGUAUGCCCAGGCAAAGCCUUUGCAUUGCAUAGUAAAAGCUGGUGAAAUGUUGUACCUCCCUUCGCUCUGGUUCCAUCAUGUUCAGCAGUCACAUGGCUGUAUAGCAGUGAAUUACUGGUAUGACAUGGAAUAUGACCUGAAGUACAGCUAUUAUCAACUACUAGAUUCUCUCUCAGAAGCUGUGAAACUGGUGUAACAGAGAAAGGAGACUUGGGGCUCAUAACUUUUCUGUCUGAUAUAAUAGACUCCUGUUCCUGGGGUAAUAUUGUGCUUGAGUCAGAAGAACGGAACGUGAAUUACCCUCAGCAAAUGUCUAUAAAAAAAUGGAUGACUGUGUUGUUUGCCUUUGGAAAUGGCAUCAUACAGAAGUUUGGUGAAAUUUCAGGCCAGUUGGUUACAUUUUGUGUUUUGACAAGAGAAUACUUGACCUCAUUUUUAAGCCUUUGCAAUUUGCCUCAGGUUUCACAAGUGAAACAAAAUUUUAACAGACCUAGUCCAGGUUUUGGAAACUCCCAAAUGCAAACCUUCUCCCUUUUAUAAAGUCUACAGAAAAUACACAGAGUGGUACCCAAGAGAUCUAUUUGGUAACUGGCAGAAUAACGAAGGAAAAAAAGCUCUGGUAUAAAUAAUGGAAUUGGCCCAGGACUUAGGUUCAUUACAAGACAACACUGCUUCUUGUUUUCAGGGGUGGUACCUAAUGCUUUGAAAUAGUGUUGUAAACAAGUCAGUCUGCAGCUUAUUUAUAUUUUUGUUAGAAACCCUACGUGAGAGAUGGAAGUGGGUCUGAGAGAAAAUCAUGGGCUAAUUGUGAUUGUUUUCAGUGUUGCCAUAUACACUUCAUCGUCCAGAUUGCCAGGCAUUGUGCUGGGUAGUGGGGGUGUAAGAGGGAGGAUGUUUCUUCAGUUAUUUUUAUAGCUAUACCUUUCAGUUUCCUCAGCAGUGACUUAACUGUGAGACUCAAAUUCCAUCUGGCCCCACCAACAGAAAAUCCCAUUUGCCAAAGCAUGGCAUGAAUAGGCAGCCUUUUACUAAUGGGGCCCAUGGCUUCUGACUCAGCUACUGCCUUGGGCUGCGAGUCCCUUGGCUGCUGCUUCAGCUGUUUCUGCUUUGUGUAGAAGGCUCAGCUUUCUUGCUGCCCCCCUCAAUGCAGUCUCUCCUGAAAAAUGUGCUGCUAAAAAGUGUGGUGAAUGAGGAUUUGAAGUGGCUUUUAGGGUGAUGAUGAUAAGUAGUGGUUGCAGCGGGGGAGUGGGGGGGAGAACAGCCUUCCACAGAGAGCAGGGAAAGUUGGAGCAGCACCAAGGGAUCAGUCUACCAUUUAAUAAAAUCUGGAGUACAGAAGAUAGGCUAGAUCAGUAGGCUAGGCAGCAGCUGGAGAUUGGCAGGUUGUUAGUUUAACAUAGAUUGAAACAGACCUUCAUGAGCCCAGUCCAGUCUCUUACCUGGCUGGAUCUUGGCCCAUGAGCUAUAGGUUUCCAACCCCCGAUCUUUAGGUUUGGUAAGGAAACUGUGAUGCUAUGUUAUAUCAGCUGGGGUAGAUGAUCAUAAAUUCCUAUUUACUUAAAACCUUUGAAAUGCAUGAUCAGGCAAGCAAUGUGAAUUAACUGCUGUAGACAAAGGCUGCCUAGACAUGUGCUUGGGGGUGGGGGCUGCUUUAAUUAGCAGUUCCUGGACAGCCGCUCUAAUUAAAAUGGCUCACCAUCAUGUGUAUUAAACCCUUGUGUGUUUCAAAAUGGCCACGAGUUCGUUAGAUGAGGUUGAGAUAAAGUGCCCCGUGGUCAUUUUGAAAUGUGUGGGGGGCUUAAUAUACAUGACGGUGAGGUGAUGCUGGAGCGUUCUAAUUAGAGCGAGAACUAGCAUCUCUGUAGGUACCCUUAGGCACUUAAAUGAUGACUUGCGUAAAAUGUAGUCAAAGUACUUACGCUUGUAUUAUUGAGCCCGACUGUACUAAAUAUAUAGACUGUUCAAAAGAUGUAGCAAGCAACAUGCUUAUUAAUAACACGUGACACUUUCAAUUUUUGAAUAACAUCACCAGUCUUCAAAGGUACAUACAAUUGUUAUCAGGGGCAUAUUGGCAGCAGCUGAUUUUUACAUACUGCGAGGCUGGAAAAGAAAUCCUUUAAUCUUUGUUUUAAUCUUUCAAGCGAAACAAAUGAAUUGUGAGCUUAAACAUGUCUUUACUUCUAGUUCUUGCUGAGCAUUUACUGAAAAUGAGAGAUGGAUUCAAGACAGCGCUCAGAUUCAUAACUAGUAUAGAACCUCAGGUAGCCUGGAAUUCAGGCCUGUUGUAGUCAUUCUACCUUUAUGGAGGAUCCCAAGCCAUGAGGUUCCAGAUCAUUUGAGAGUCAAAUCCAAACUUCUCUGGAGUUUGGAAGGAGAAAGGGCUUGGAUCUUUUUUUCUAAUUUGGCUCCAUUUGUUUCAGGUGCGUGUGCGCCCUCUCUCUCUCUCUCCCCUCCACUCCCAUGUGUACAUGCACAAAUAACUAAAAUAAAAAAAUAAAAUCCCUAGAAUAUAAAUAUGAUAUAUAUUCUAGAAUGGAUAUAUGCUUUAUAGAUAACGCUAGAGUUUCAAGUAUAUGGUUGCAGGCGCUGUGUAAUCUGCCUACAUCCUGCCAGCAUGCCACUGGAUGAAGCCUCUAUUGAAUGGAAGGUGCCCAUCAUGGCCAGUUGGUUUUGUGGUGUCAUUUGCAUACUACUAAUCUCUCAUCUCAUUUUUACUGUGCAUUAGGAUCUGAUCCUGAGAGUUGCUUAUUGCCAAAUAAUAAAACCAGUGGGAGUUGCAUGUGCUCAGCAGCUCUCAGGGUCACAACUUUAAGCUGAUGAAGGCAUGAAUGAAAGUUUUUUGAGAUGAAAUCCUAGUGUAUUCGCCCACCUCUGCGCAGCAUUGGGACAAACAUGGCAGCAAGGUGAAUUGACUUUAUGGAAUAUAAGACAGUGAUAUACUCCAAUAAUAAGAUUUCUACCCUUCUGGUUUCAACCCUGGUCCCUGUUCUCCUGUGACUAGGUAUCUACCUCUGCAGCUGAUAUAAAGUGCACUGAUGCUUUUUUCUCUACCUCAAAGAUGGUUCUAUCCCAAGAAAUGAAAUUUUGUACAAGUUCCGUUACAUACAUCAAUGAUUGACUUAGGUACAGUUUGUUUCAGGCUGAAAUGUCUGUGGUCACCAGAAAAUACAAAGUAUGUGCACAUGAACUGUGGUAGAAGGUGGAAAUGAACAGUGUAAACUAUGAAAUGUUUAAGCCAGGGGUGUCCAACUUCUGACCAGUGAGAGGGGGUGCACACUCCUCAGGCCACAGACCUCUUGGUACAGACCCCACAGGUGCCUCUGCCUGGAGUCCCCCCCUGAGCUGCAUAGGUAGUCUGGCUUCCCCCAACUUCAUGGAUGUUGGAAAAGAUUUGACUCCCUUCCCCUUGCCCCAUAGGCAAGGUGAACAGCCUGCUUCUUGUUUCGCAGGUGGUGUGAGCAGCCUGGCUCUCCUCUGCUGGGGGGGGGGGCACAGCCUCCCUUUUGGCUGUGCAGCAAACCAGCACCUCUCUUGCCAUUGAGGGCAGUGCAGGUCCCCUACCAGCUUCACUUCACCUCCACAAGCAGCCCUGCUUCUCUCCACUGCAUGAGCAGUAUACCCUCCCUUCUGGCUGUGUACACCGCAUGGGGAAACUUACCCCUCUCUUGCCUGGUGGGCAGCCUGGAUCUCCCUCUGCUAUGCAUGCAGUGCCCUCCUGCUGCUAGGCUUACUGUCCCCAGGACUGUGCUCAAGAAGCAGAAGCUGGAGGAGGGAGGGAGAGCCUGGAGAACCCAGCCACUGCAGAAGCAAGGGCAUUGGGGGGACCACUAGUUGGUUAGGAGCUCAGGGGCUGUAUUUUUACCUCUGGAAGGCCAGAUGCAGCCCACAGGAUGCCAGCUGGUUAGCCCUGGCUUAAGUCAUUAUUGUAAAUGUCCAAACAGUGAUCCUGGUAUUUAAUGCAGUUUUUCACCACUUCAUUGACUCGGGAUGCUAUUGAAUUUUCAUUGCUGGAUACGUGGGUCAUUAACCACUAACCUUGAGGGCUGAGUGGUUUUUCUAGUUACUCCUGCUUGAACCCAUCUUCAAAACAGAGCACCUGCUCCCUCAGAGUUUUUGCCGUGAGCGUUUUAAGCAGUGGAGAACUUUGUGUUUCCCUUCAUCUAUACUUACGUCAUGAAUUCUGGGAUCCUCCAAAAGUUUAUGUCCAGAUGAGGUGCAGGGCAACCUGGUAUCUAUCUAUAGUGUAUGUCAAGGGAAAUGAAGACAGUAGGAGGCUGUAGCUACAGUGUCCCAGCAUAACUAAAUGCAAGCACCUCUCUAUUAUUGCUUUAAGUUCAGUUUGUAACCGGUUACUGACAUGGCUGCUUCUGAAUAUCAUUUGUCUGCAUAUUGCAUUAUGUUAAUACAUGGCUGGCAGCCAUAGCAGCUCAUUGUGUGUCAUCUUUGCCAGUAGCCCCAGACUAUCAGGACCUAGAACAGUGGUUAUCAACCUGUUUAUACUCAAGGCACCCCUCAGAGACUGCCAGCUCUUAGCUUUCACUCCUUUUUUGACUACAGAAAACUAAUAGAGCAAUUCUUCUGUGAAAAAGAACUUGGAAAGAGCACAAAUAGGUCAAAAUUGUUUUUGUCACUGUAGAUUCCUAUUUGAAAUCUCUGGGUUUAUGUUGUGAAUCAUUUGUAGAUAUUUACACAUCUAAUGGUGCCAAUAUUGCACAGCACCCUUAAAAGUAUCUUAUGGCACCCUAGGGUAUUGUGGUAUGGUUGAGAAUUGGUGUCCUAAAAAAACAAGGAUUCUGACAUCAAAGAGAGAAUCUGGAAAUGAAAAGGUCAUCAUGGGCAUACGAUGUACUGAGAAUUUGAUGAGAACAUGACAUUUUGUGUAAGGACAAAGCAUCAUCAUUAUCUGCAUGACUGCCUUCAGCUAGAGAAAGUGUCCCAUUGCAACACUGGGAGGUCCUGCACUCACUGCUCCCCUGGUAGCUUGUCUGCUGCUUCCUGUAGAUUCUGUUUCAACUCCAAUGUCCAUCGAGUUAAAGCAGCCCAGUAACCUUCUCAUCUGAAAAAUGAAUAAACCUCGGUAUCACCUUCCAAUCUUGUUCCUGCUCAUGCCAUGCUGAACAUCCACCGAAGGGUAUAUGUCACUCCUAGGUGCAUCAUCCUAUUUCUUUUUGUUGAUAUGUUUUAUUCUCCCCAAACAGCUUGCUUAGCUAUGGGCUAAUGUAAGCAAUGUCUUGGUUAGCUGACUCUCAUGUAAAACAAAACCUACACCUGUCUGCGUGCAGCAAUGUGGUUUGGAGAAGAUGAUUUCUGAGGUAAGCUAGUUGUUCUUCACAGCCUACUGUAAAGGUAAGUAGGAGGACCCCUGGGGAGGGGAUCAGGGGGACAUUUCAAGGCAAAGGUGAGAAAGGAAGAUGGGAAUGGAAGGAGGAAUUUGGCCAGUGGAGUAGGGAGCUUGAUUGGUAAAAGGGAAACAUGGGGAGCUACAAGGGGCAUUUAGGAGAGAGUGAAAGGACAUGGUGUGGGGGUGGGGGGCAGGGAAGAUGUUUAAAGGGACACUUAGGAUAAACAGAUGUUCCUUGUCAUUUAAGGGGUAAGUGUCUUCCAUGGCUUUUUUUUUUGUGGGUGGGAAGGGGAUGGAGCUCUAUCCUACAGUGCAAUAUGGGGAGUUUUGGAUGGGUGCUACCACUAGCACCUUCCAACAGCCAGGAACUUAAUCUAGUAAUAGUCUCCAAAAACAUGAAGCACUUGUGCAUUCAUAUCUCAUCCCUCGCUGAUAGCACUCUGUCCGCUUACCAUAAGCUGAGCCUUGUAGCUCACAGGGACUGUACACAAUGUCUGGAGGCAUUCUCUGCUUACACACACUAUGGAGGAGUUUUCUGGAUCUGGCAAGAUCAUGCGUAGUUCAGCUAAACUGCAUCUCAGCUGCAGGACAUCAUCUUGUGACACCUGACAUGGAGUGUGCAACUUUUUAUUGUAAAUAUUUAAAUUCUCCUUUUGGUUUCUGUCUCACUGUGUGAAAGAAUGACACAAAAAAGAUCAUCAGUCAUCAUUUUGAUGGAAUUUACUAACACUAUACUUAAAUCUCUAGGAGGUAAAAGUAUUAAAUUAAAAAAAACACACUCUUUGA